UGGGCAUGGAUGUUAGCUCAGGGCCAGUCUUCCUCAGAAAAAAGAGGAGGAUUGGCAGUAGUUAGCUCAGGGCUAAUCUUCCUCAAAAACAAAACAAAACAAAACAAAACUAUGGUUCCUCUUCAGGUGAAUUUUUAACUAAAUGAACUGAUUUAACCAAAAAAAAUUUAGAACACCAAUGGCCAUCAUAGGGAACUUUUGAUCUCCCCAAACUUGCUUUUCUUAGAAUUAAAUUAGACAGUCAUGGCUCUAAAAUAAAACAAACUGAGUGGUACGCCUAUUUAAUUGGUACCUGGAGUCUUCCAAACAUAUCCAAGACUCCAGAAUAGCCUCUUUGCCAGAUGACAGUUCUAAAUCAACCAAGAUGAACAAACCAUUGAAAGAAGUCAAAACGGCUUCUGAAGCCUCACGUUCCUCUCCCCUGACUUGUCUCAGGCUUCAGCUAUGACACCAUACAUUUUUCUCUUCUGAAACUCCAGUCCUAUUCAUUAUUAGGAUGAUAUUUUUUAGAAAAUAUCAUUCUGGAUUUCUUUCUCUCAAAAGGGGUAAAUAAUUCUAGAAUUCAACAGCACGCAAAUAAGAAUCUUGGUUUAAAAAACAACAACAAACUCUUUGGCCAUCUGGGCAGGUAAGCUUAACUUAAUCUAUCUGCCAGAAAUGCAAUUUGGAUCCAACUAUUCUUUCGCGUUUUGUACCUGAGACAUGGUUAAAAAAUUUAAAACAAAAGCUAUAAGAGCUCUGUUUAUGUCUAUGUGUCUAUGGAUGUAUGAUAGUUAUGUGAUUUUUUUAAACGUCUGGAUGGUUUUACCAAAAUUAAUUUGUAAAAGAGCUCUACUCAAUUGGCUUGAAAUUAAGUGCUUAUAAAUUAAGUAUUCCUAAAUCUCAGAAAUAUAAUAGAAAUUAACCCAGAUGCUUUUCAAGUUUAUGUGAUCUAUGAUUAAUCUUUAGUAAAUAAAAGCUAUCUUAAGGUUGUUAGUUUAAUCUAAACAGGCAUGUCUUUAGAGUCAUCAACACUCAGUAAUGCAGACACACAACUUUCACUCUACCUGGGUUUAUCAAGUUCAUGUUACCUCUGUUGCAAAAUUUGUCAGCAAGAAAAAAUAAGAUGAUAGCUAAUUGCUUUAAUAGCACAUGAAGUUUUGGUGAGUAAUUUAAACAUAAUUGUCGGGAACAAAAUUAUUUAGACAGAUGAAAAUGAGAAGAUUUUUUGGGUGCAAUAAUUAUAUUUUAUGCUAUGUGUGCUUGAAAAAUAGCUUCCAAAAUCUUUUUGAUAACCUGAGUUGUGCUAAGUUAAAUUAAAUGAUGGAAUUUUAUUGAAUACUUGGAUCACUUUCCUAACAAGAUAAAAUACUAAAACAUUAAUUACUGAACAUAGAUUUAUCUACUUUUGGCUUCCUAUUGCAAAGAAACCGAAGAUAAAUUUGGGUCUGUUAUUAAUCACGUCUUGACAAAAUCUGAACAUAAAAAGAAAAUUGUAGAAGGUUUAUGAAAAGGAAUCUUGGGAAAGGAAUUGUAUGCACAGUCAGAGCUGGAUAAGAUUGGAAUGAAUGAGUUUUAAUAUCAAAAAAGCAAAAUUGAAAUUUGGCUUUCUUUUCUGCUAAAAAUACAAGGUUUUCUUGGUCUGCUUUUGAUAACAGAUUGUGAAAGCUUCUUUACCUUUUAAGUAAUAUGCCUAGAAAGCAGAUUUUUUGUUUUAUCAGAAUAAUUUCCUGCAUUGUUUUUAUCAGUUCUUCUAACAUUAAAGGAGUUCACUUUUGUGUACUACUAUGCAGCCUUUUGUACUUGCCUUUGAAGUCCUUUGUUACUUUGGUCGAAUGUCACUUUUUAAGGUGUAUUCUCUCUUCCUGUACUUUUCAAGGCCUAAGAUGUGCUCUGUAUUUAAUAUUCUAAGGUGGAUUGACAAUAAAAUGAUGCAGAUGGGAAAGAACUGAGGUAUUUGAUUAAAAGUUCUAAAAACAAUGUAAACAUUGAGACUUCUUGUUGCAAUAGUCCACAGGGGGGCAUUGCAUGCCAAUUCAUGAUUUGUGGAAUUUUCCAUUCUGUCAUUAGACACCUGAAGUUCACAAACAACUCCUGCACACAGACAAAUGACAACCCUGUUAUUGUCUCACAGGGAUCUUCUUUGAUUUUUAUUAAUUCAUACUCUUCUUCUGACUUCAGACUUCUCAAAGACAAGGGUUGAUUUUUUAAAAAAAAAAAAGGUCAGUGGGGCCGGCCCAGUGGCGCAGCAGUUAAGUUUGCACGUUCAGCUUCGGUGGCCUGGGGUUCGCCAGUUUGGAUCCCAGGUGCAGACAUGGCACUGCUUGGCAAAGUCAUGCUGUGGUAGGCGUCCCACAUAUAAAGUAGAGGAAGAUGGGCACAGAUGUUAGCUCAGGGCCAGUCUUCCUCAGCAAAAAGAGGAGGAUUGGCAGCAGACGUUACCUCAGGGCUAAUCUUCCUUAAAAAAAAAAAAAAAAAGGUCAGUAAAAGGCAACCAAAGCAAAAAUAAACAAAUGGGACUACAUCAAAAGAAACCAUCAACAAAAUGAAAAGACACUUACUGAGUGGAAGAAAUAUUUGCAAAUAAUAUAUCCGAAAAGGGGUUAAUAGUCAAAAGAUAUAAACAACUCAUAAAAUUCAACAGCAAAAAACCAAACAAUCCAAUUAAAAAAUAGGCAGAGGAUCUGAAUAGACAC
rnacentral:lncRNA from 1 species